AACGAACGCUGGCGGCGUGCUUAACACAUGCAAGUCGAGCGGUAAGGCCCCUUCGGGGGUACACGAGCGGCGAACGGGUGAGUAACACGUGAGCAAUCUGCCCUUCACACGGGGAUAACUCCGGGAAACCGAAGCUAAUACCCGAUACGACCACCUCAGGCAUCCGAUGGUGGUGGAAAGUUCCGGCGGUGAAGGAUGAGCUCGCGGCCUAUCAGCUUGUUGGUGGGGUAACGGCCCACCAAGGCAACGACGGGUAGCCGGCCUGAGAGGGUGACCGGCCACACUGGGACUGAGACACGGCCCAGACUCCUACGGGAGGCAGCAGUGGGGAAUAUUGGACAAUGGGCGAAAGCCUGAUCCAGCAACGCCGCGUGAGGGAUGACGGCCUUCGGGUUGUAAACCUCUUUCAGCAGGGACGAAGCGCAAGUGACGGUACCUGCAGAAGAAGCACCGGCCAACUACGUGCCAGCCGCCGCGGUAA
rnacentral:rRNA from 1 species